rnacentral:rRNA from 1 species
UACAGAGGGUGCGAGCGUUAAUCGGAAUUACUGGGCGUAAAGCGUGCGUAGGUGGUUUCUUAAGCUGGAUGUGAAAGCCCUGGGCUCAACCUGGGAACUGCAUCCAAAACUACUGAGCUAGAGUACGGUAGAGGGUAGUGGAAUUUCCUGUGUAGCGGUGAAAUGCGUAGAUAUAGGAAGGAACACCAAUGGCGAAGGCGACUACCUGGACUGAUACUGACACUGAGGUGCGAAAGCGUGGGUAGCAAACAGGAUUAGAUACCCCAGUAGU